rnacentral:lncRNA from 1 species
UUAAUCACAAAAAAUGGCCUAUGAUCAUCUCUUAACCAACCAUCCUAUAACCUAGGUAUGAGAAACUGGGCAAGUUCUGGAUUCCACACACUCCGGGAACUAGGCAAUGCCUCACACAUAUUAUACAGGGUUACAUUUCUAGUCACUACUUAUUUAGUUCAUGCAGUUGUUCACCACAUUUAUUACAUCCCUAAUUCAAAUGCCAUUACUAGAUUCACAGCAGUCACACG